CCUACGGGCGGCAGCAGUGAGGAAUAUUGGUCAAUGGGCGCGAGCCUGAACCAGCCAAGUAGCGUGAAGGAUGACUGCCCUACGGGUUGUAAACUUCUUUUAUAAAGGAAUAAAGUGAGGCACGUGUGCCUUUUUGUAUGUACGUUAUGAAUAAGGAUCGGCUAACUCCGUGCCAGCAGCCGCGGUAAUACGGAGGAUCCGAGCGUUAUCCGGAGUUAUUGGGUUUAAAGGGAGCGUAGAUGGGUUGUUAAGUCAGUUGUGAAAGUUUGCGGCUCAACCGUAAAAUUGCCAUUGAUACUGGCAGCCUUGCGUACCGUUGCGGUAGGCGGCAUUCGUGUUGUAGCGGUGACCUGCUUAGCUCUCACG
rnacentral:rRNA from 1 species